CUGUGUUGUCUCCCACCCUUCUCUCUUCUUCUUCUUCUUCCUUUGAUCAUCUACUUGUUUCUUUAUUUUUCUCUUCUAACACAAAAAAUUACAAGAGAACAAAAGUAAAUAGCAAAUACAGAAGAGAGAAAAAAUGGAAGUCUGAAAAAUAUUAAGACUAAAAAGAAGUUAAAUUUUUACUCUAGUUUUAGUUUCGAUGGGUCUUCAAGCCGAACAACUUUUCGGCGCCAAUUUUUUUGGUAUUGACUGCCUCAACAAUGGCUAUUUUUUAAUAAAGUAACCGGUGAGAUAUUUUUUCCGGCAAUUAGUUUCAAAGGACUAAUUUUGGGGAUGAAAUUGAGAAUUUUU
rnacentral:lncRNA from 1 species